AACGUAGGUUCCGAGCGUUAUCCGGAUUUACUGGGCGUAAAGCGCGUUCAGGCGGUUUGGCAAGUCGGGCAUGAAAUCUCUCGGCUCAACCGGGAGAGGUUGUCCGAUACUGCUGGACUUGAGGGCAGUAGAGGGUGGUGGAAUUCCGGGUGUAGUGGUGAAAUGCGUAGAUAUCCGGAGGAACACCAGUGGCGAAAGCGGCCACCUGGACUGCGCCUGACGCUGACACGCGAAAGCUAGGGGAGCGAACGGG
rnacentral:rRNA from 1 species